GAUGAACGCUGGCGGCGUGCCUAAUACAUGCAAGUCGAGCGAAUGGAUUAAGAGCUUGCUCUUAUGAAGUUAGCGGCGGACGGGUGAGUAACACGUGGGUAACCUGCCCAUAAGACUGGGAUAACUCCGGGAAACCGGGGCUAAUACCGGAUAACAUUUUGAACCGCAUGGUUCGAAAUUGAAAGGCGGCUUCGGCUGUCACUUAUGGAUGGACCCGCGUCGCAUUAGCUAGUUGGUGAGGUAACGGCUCACCAAGGCAACGAUGCGUAGCCGACCUGAGAGGGUAGUCUGCCACACUGGGACUGAGACACGGCCCAGACUCCUACGGGAGGCAGCAGUAGGGAAUCUUCCGCAAUGGACGAAAGUCUGACGGAGCAACGCCGCGUGAGUGAUGAAGGCUUUCGGGUCGUAAAACUCUGUUGUUAGGGAAGAACAAGUGCUAGUUGAAUAAGCUGACACCUUGACGGUACCUAACCAGAAAGCCACGGCUAACUACGUGCCAGCAGCCGCAGUAA
rnacentral:rRNA from 1 species